UACGGGGGGGGCAAGCGUUGUUCGGAAUUACUGGGCGUAAAGGGUGCGUAGGCGGUUCGCUAAGUUGGAUGUGAAAACUCUGGGCUUAACCCAGAGCCUGCAUCCAAUACUGGCGAGCUAGAGUUCUGGAGGGGGUAGCGGAAUUCCUGGUGUAGCGGUGAAAUGCGUAGAUAUCAGGAGGAACACCGGUGGCGAAGGCGGCUACCUGGACAGAGUCUGACGCUGAGGCACGAAAGCUAGGGGAGCAAACAGG
rnacentral:rRNA from 1 species